rnacentral:rRNA from 1 species
GAGUUUGAUCGUGGCUCAGAUUGAACGCUGGCGGCAUGCCUUACACAUGCAAGUCGAACGGCAGCACGGGAGCUUGCUCCUGGUGGCGAGUGGCGAACGGGUGAGUAAUGCAUCGGAACGUAUCCUGGAGUGGGGGAUAACGUAGCGAAAGUUACGCUAAUACCGCAUAUUCUGUGAGCAGGAAAGCGGGGGACCUUCGGGCCUCGCGCUCUUGGAGCGGCCGAUGUCGGAUUAGCUAGUUGGUGAGGUAAAGGCUCACCAAGGCGACGAUCCGUAGCAGGUCUGAGAGGAUGAUCUGCCACACUGGAACUGAGACACGGUCCAGACUCCUACGGGAGGCGAGCAGUGGGAAUUUUGGACAAUGGGGGCAACCCUGAUCCAGCCAUGCCGCGUGAGUGAAG